rnacentral:rRNA from 1 species
UCAAAGAUUAAGCCAUGCAUGUCUCAGUACAAACCCAAUAAGAAGGUGAAACCGCGAAUGGCUCAUUAUAUCAGCUAUUUUUUAUUUGAUAUUAUUACCCUGUUUUUCCUUGGAUAACUGUGGUAAUUCUAGAGCUAAUACAUGCCCAUAUAGUCCCUGACUUGACGGUCAGGGCGCUCUUAUUAGUAUCAAAACCGGUAACAGACUUUGGUCUGUAAACCAACCUAUGAUGACUCUGGAUAAUUUAUAGCUGAGCGCACAGUCUUUGUACUGGUGCUGCAUCUUUCAAGUGUCUGCCUUAUCAGCUUUCGAUUGUAAAUUAUGUGCUUACAAUGGCUAUAACGGGUGACGGGGAAUCAGGGUUCGAUUCCGGAGAGGGAGCCUGAGAAACGGCUACCACAUCCAAGGAAGGCAGCAGGCACGCAAAUUACCCACUCCCAGCACGGGGAGGUAGUGACGAAAAAUAACGAUGCGAGACUCAUCCGAGGCCUCGCAAUCGGAAUGAGUACACUUUAAAUCCUUUAACGAGGAUCCAUUGGAGGGCAAGUCUGGUGCCAGCAGCCGCGGUAAUUCCAGCUCCAAUAGCAUAUAUUAAAGUUGUUGCGGUUAAAAAGCUCGUAGUUGGACUACCGUUCUGGACUGAUGGUACUUCACCUUAUGGUGUUUACUAUCACGCUCCAAAACCGCCUACACAACCCAAAAGUUGUUGGGCUCCACCAGCUCGCAUGGGAUGCUCUUAACCGAGUGUCCUGAGUGGCUGGUAUGUUUACUUUGAAAAAAUUAGAGUGCUCAGAGCAGGCUAUUUAUAUUGCCUGAAUGACUAUGCAUGGAAUAAUGGAAUAGGACCUCGGUUCUAUUUUGUCGGUUUUCUUUGGAAUCCGAGGUAAUGACUAAGAGAGACAAACGGGGGCAUUUGUACUGUGACGCUAGAGGUGAAAUUCUUGGACCGUCACAAGACAAACAACUGCGAAAGCAUUUGCCAAGGAUGUUUUCAUUAAUCAAGAACGAAAGUUAGAGGUUCGAAGGCGAUCAGAUACCGCCCUAGUUCUAACCAUAAACGAUGCUAACCAGCAAUCCGCCGGCGUUAUUCCCAUGACCCGGCGGGCAGCUUCCGGGAAACCAAAGUCUUUGAGUUUCGGGGGAAGUAUGGUUGCAAAGCUGAAACUUAAAGGAAUUGACGGAAGGGCACCACCAGGAGUGGAGCCUGCGGCUUAAUUUGACUCAACACGGGGAACCUCACCAGGCCCAGACACUGGAAGGAUUGACAGACUGAGAGCUCUUUCUCGAUUCAGUGGGUGGUGGUGCAUGGCCGUUCUUAGUUGGUGGA